CCUACGGGUGGCAGCAGUCGAGAAUCAUUCACAAUGGGGGAAACCCUGAUGGUGCGACGCCGCGUGGGGGAAUGAAGGUCUUCGGAUUGUAAACCCCUGUCAUGUGGGGGCAAAUUAAAAAGAUAGUACCACAAGAGGAAGAGACGGCUAACUCUGUGCCAGCAGCCGCGGUAAUACAGAGGUCUCAAGCGGUGUUCGGAAUCACUGGGCGUAAGGCGUGCGUAGGCUGUUUCGUAAGUCGUGUGUGAAAGGCGCGGGCUCAACCCGCGGACGGCACAUGAUACUGCGAGACUAGAGUAAUGGAGGGGGAACCGGAAUUCUCGGUGUAGCAGUGAAAUGCGUAGAUAUCGAGAGGAACACUCGUGGCGAAGGCGGGUUCCUGGACAUUAACUGACGCUGAGGCACGAAGGCCAGGGGAGCGAAAGGGAUUAGAUACCCCUGUAGUC
rnacentral:rRNA from 1 species